rnacentral:rRNA from 1 species
GAUGAACGCUAGCUACAGGCUUAACACAUGCAAGUCGAGGGGUAGCAGGGUAGCAAUACCGCUGACGACCGGCGCACGGGUGAGUAACACGUAUCCAACCUUCCCAUAACUCGGGGAUAGCCUUUCGAAAGAAAGAUUAAUACCUGAUAGUACUUAAGAAAGGCAUCUUUUUUAAGUUAAAGAUUUAUUGGUUAUGGAUGGGGAUGCGUUCCAUUAGAUAGUUGGUGAGGUAACGGCUCACCAAGUCUUCGAUGGAUAGGGGUUCUGAGAGGAAGGUCCCCCACAUUGGUACUGAGACACGGACCAAACUCCUACGGGAGGCAGCAGUGAGGAAUAUUGGUCAAUGGGCGAGAGCCUGAACCAGCCAAGUAGCGUGAAGGAUGAAGGUCCUAUGGAUUGUAAACUUCUUUUAUAGUAGAAUAAAGUGAACCACGUGUGGUUUUUUGUAUGUAUACUAUGAAUAAGGAUCGGCUAACUCCGUGCCAGCCGCCGCAGUAA